CAGCCGCCACGGUAAUACGUAGGGUGCAAGCGUUAAUCGGAAUUACUGGGCGUAAAGCGUGCGCAGGCGGUUAUAUAAGACAGAUGUGAAAUCCCCGGGCUCAACCUGGGAACUGCAUUUGUGACUGUAUAGCUAGAGUACGGCAGAGGGGGAUGGAAUUCCGCGUGUAGCAGUGAAAUGCGUAGAUAUGCGGAGGAACACCAAUGGCGAAGGCAAUCCCCUGGGCCUGUACUGACGCUCAUGCACGAAAGCGUGGGGAGCAAACAGGAUUAGAUACCCCAGUAGUCCCUGUCUCUUAUAC
rnacentral:rRNA from 1 species